rnacentral:rRNA from 1 species
GACGAACGCUGGCGGCGUGCUUAACACAUGCAAGUCUAACGGAAAGGCCCUGUUUUUGUGGGGUGCUAGAGUGGCGAACGGGGGAAUACCACAGGAAUAACCUGCCCUUUACUUUGGGAUAACUUCAGGCAACUGGGGCUAAUACCGGAUAGGAGCUCCUGCUGCAUGGAGGGGGUUGGAAAGUUUCGGUGGUUGGGGAUGUACCUGCGGCUUAUCAGCUUGUUGGUGGGGUAGUGGCUUACCACGGCUUUGACGGGUAGCCGGCCUGAGAGGGUGACCGGCCACAUUGGGACUGAGAUACGGCCCAGACUCCUACGGGAGGCAGCGGUGGGGAAUAUUGCACAAUGGGCGGAAGCCUGAUGCAGCGACGCCGCGUGCGGGAUGACGGCCUUCGGGUUGUAAACCGCUUUCGCCUGUGACGAAGCGUAAGUGACGGUAAUGGGUAAAGAAGCACCGGCUAACUACGUG